CCUACGGGAGGCUGCAGUGGGGAAUAUUGGACAAUGGGGGAAACCCUGAUCCAGCAAUGCCGCGUGUGUGAAGAAGGCCUGCGGGUUGUAAAGCACUUUCGGUUGGGAAGAAAAGUUUGGCGCCAAUACCGCCGAACCUUGACGUUACUGACAGAAGAAGCACCGGCUAACUCUGUGCCAGCAGCCGCGGUAAUACAGAGGGUGCAAGCGUUAAGCGGAAUCAGCGGGCGUGAUCCUGGAGUAGUGGGGUGAAAGCCCCGGGCUUAACCUGGGAACUGCAUUCGAUACUACCUGGCUAGAGUAUGGUAGAGGGAAGUGGAAUUUCCGGUGUAGCGGUGAAAUGCGUAGAUAUCGGAAGGAACACCAAUGGCGAAGGCAGCUUCCUGGACUAAUACUGACACUGAGGCACGAAAGCGUGGGUAGCAAACAGGAUUAGAUACCCCAGUAGUC
rnacentral:rRNA from 1 species